rnacentral:lncRNA from 1 species
CGACAUUUGUUUUAUUAUUGGAAGAAAAGUCGAAUUAUACAAGAAUAGCUAUAAAAGUCGCUGUGUAACCAUUAAUGAAGAUCAAAUAACACUGGAGUACAUGGCUCUCAUAAAUGUACUGUAAGCAAAACAAAAGAAAUGCAAACUGUUUUUUGAAAAAAAAGGAAAGAACGAAAGAAAAGAAAAUAAAAGAAAAAAGAGUGAAAUACAAAAGAUAUAGAAUAUUUAAUUCAUUUGUGGCAUGCAGAGGGAAUUCGUAAUGAUUAGUCGUCGUAGG